rnacentral:rRNA from 1 species
AAUGGGCGCAAGCCUGAUCCAGCCAUGCCGCGUGAGUGAUGAAGGCCCUAAGGUCGUAAAGCUCUUUCGCCUGUGAAGAUAAUGACGGUAGCAGGUAAAGAAACCCCGGCUAACUCCGUGCCAGCAGCCGCGGUAAUACGGAGGGGGUUAGCGUUGUUCGGAAUUACUGGGCGUAAAGCGCGCGUAGGCGGAUUAGUCAGUCAGAGGUGAAAUCCCAGGGCUCAACCCUGGAACUGCCUUUGAUACUGCUAGUCUUGAGUUCGAGAGAGGUAAGUGGAAUUCCGAGUGUAGAGGUGAAAUUCGUAGAUAUUCGGAGGAACACCAGUGGCGAAGGCGGCUUACUGGCUCGAUACUGACGCUGAGGUGCGAAAGUGUGGGGAGCAAACAGGAUU